AGUUCCUCUUCUUUUCCUCCUUGAUGAGCCACUUAGACUUGAAUUCGUACUGGCUGUCCACAUCCAACAGCUUCCAUGAGACGAAGUUGUGGUCGAGAGGCCACAGGCUUGGGCGUUUCCUCAGCAACUCGUGCACCGUCCUGGGAUGCGUUUGAGGUGAGACGCCCGCAAGACCACACACAGACAACGCCGAAACGCCAAGCAUAGCCGCGACCACGCACACACGAACACAAGACACACAUAUGCGCUGUGAGCGACUCAAUGAAGACGUGCAUCUACAUGGUCACAUGGAUGCGCGUGGAAGGUGCAGCCCACAGUCGGCGGUGGUCAGUUCGAAGGCGGGGAAUCAACAAGGUCGCGACAGGAAAUCAGCACGGCGGUGGCAACAUAUUCAGAC
rnacentral:lncRNA from 1 species